CUCCAAGUUGAUUCUUUAUGUUUUUUGCAUUCAUUAAUUAAUCAAGUUCAUCUUAAGCGAAAUAUUUGCGCUGAAGCCUACUUAAACAAAAAUGCAAAAUCGGAUAAAUUAGUACCUAUUCUGAAAAGCAGUUUGCUAAUUGAUUGUGUAUUUUUCUGUCAUACACCUUCAGUCGUUCUGCAUAAAAAAUCGUACACAUGAAUAGGAAGGAACCUUGACGUGGUUCAUGUGCUUUAAACAAAUACCUUCCAGACAGAUACAUUCUCACCCGUUGUACUGUGAGGGAUAAAUGUUGACAUUGAGUACAUUGUAGGUAUCAAGAAUAGCUAGUAUAGGUAUAAUUUUUUAUUAAAUUUUGCAUAUGUUUCAUGUAAAAGAUAAUGACUAGAAUCUAGUUUAUAUUUAUAAAAAAAAAUCCAAAACAAUAGUUUGGGAGGGAGCGAUUUUAAGUUAAUUUUUGCUUGAAUUUCAGACUUAUAUUGUCUUAACCAGUUUAGCAUUAAAUUUUUUUUUUUUUUUGAAAUUGCGUGGUUAUUUUUAUAAAAGGCUGCAAACACCGAGUCUUAAUCACAAAAAAAAAAUUCCAAAUGGGGUGAGUCCAUAGGGGGAGCUAUUGGGAGAAGUCAUAGAGGGAGCCCCCCUGGUGUCAAAUAAAAACCUUUUGAAAAUAUAAAUCCGAUUUAUUGGGGAGUUCACAAUUAGUAAUUGGGGGAAGGGGGCUGCUUAUUUGGUAUCUGAGAGUACCACUGUCUGGGAUGGAUUGUGUUAUAACAAUCGUGGCUCAGUGGUUAGAGCAUUGGAUUUGUAAUCUAAGUGUUGCGAGUUAGAUCUCUACUCGAAGCACAUAAAGUUAUCGUUAAGGUUGGAAACGGAGAGCCAACUUAUAAAUGCUAUUGUCUUUGUGGCGGUGCUCUGUGACAAGAACAUUAGGACUUCUUAGAGCACCUAAAUAACAAAAAAAAAAAAAAAAGGGGUGGGGGGCGGUUAUAUUAAAAAAAAAAUCGCCAAAGGAAAAAUAAAUCCUAGAUCCGCCCCUGAAUUGUAUUAUUUUCCAGACAUUUUAUGCGUAAACUAUAUCCCAAUCGGCCAAAUUUCAAGGAAAUUGUUUAAAUUUUUUUUAAUUUCCAGACUUUUUAUGCUUAAACUUAACCCAAUCGGCCAAAUAUGUCUAGUUUUCUUGAUUUUCUGAUCAGAUCGCCUCAGAUCAGGCGGCCAAAUUUUAACUAAAUUGGGGUAAAUUUUCGAUUUUCCAGAUUGCCUUAGAUUAGGCAAAAAAAAAUUUUGCCUAAUGCAUAAAAAAGCCAUUUUGACAAUCAUUAUAUUUAACACUUUCGCUCAUUUUUGCGGUUUCAAAUCCGAAACCGUGAAAAAAAUCCUAAUGAAAUUUUGACUUUAAAAAAAUGUAAAGUAAGAUACACCUUAUUUAUAAUAUAAUAUUUCUCUUUAGGCGGCCGCCUAAUCUGCAGUACUGUAGAUCCGCCACUGGAUGUUACCUAUAUUUGAACUCUAAUCUUCAUAAAAUUAAUCCAUUCGACCAAUUUAUGGAAGUUAAGAAGAUUGAACUAAAACAAAGUAUCAUUUAAUAAUACUUUAUUAAGUCCCAUCUCCUUUUUUUUUGUACCAACGUUAUUGUAACAUAAAUACAGGGUGUAAACUAGCCCUGUGGCGCCCCGUCAAACGCGGUUUUCCCAAAUGCUCAUAAAAUUAAAAUUCCCAAUUUAAAGAUGAAAAAAUCCCAUUCUCCAAAUAAA